AGCAGAAGGGCCUUGUCACUUGGUGGUGGGAUUCCUCUGUGGCAGGAGGCUCAUCCAAAGAGAGCUGGAGAAAUCCCCCUGGCUGGCUGGGAAAGGAAAGAGCUCAGAUAGUCGAGUCUCCCUGCUCCACAUGGUCACUGAGUAUCAAUCCAUACCCCUGAACGACGCCAUUAAACCAACCUAACCUCCAGUGUAGACAAGGACUCCCGUCAACGAUCCUACCUAGGUGGAGUACCGACGCCAGCUGCAGAACCCCUCCUGUCGGAAUAACUCCAUAGAGGAGCAAGAGGAGAAGGGCUGUAGGUGAAGAAGACUUGACUGAGAGAGAUCACCAGGCAGGUGUCCAAUUUAUUGAAAAAUAUCCCUCCAGUGUUUAUGCAAGAAUCACGUUUAUUUGUUUUUUUUCAUUCACUGCCUGCCGAAUGUUUCAGCCUUAUCGCGAGGCUCCAAGGUAUGCCAGCUCUAAUCCGUGACUCCGAGUUAACUGCUAUCAAAAGACAAAUUGGGCAAGAUUCCAGCAGCGUGCAUUGUUGAUAGUCCAAUAAGGAAUCAAUAAUACAGUUAGUUACCAUAAAGCUUACAGACUACUGUUGUGGUAGCAACCAAGUAUUAAAGAAGCUAUUGGAUAUCUAACUGGAAAACUCUCAGACAGACCUAUUAUUUAUUUGUUUGUAGCACCAAGGAGCUCUAGUGAUGGGACUAGUAUCCCAUUGUGCUAGGCACUGUACAAACAUAGACAACAAAAACAAAUCCGCCUGAGCCCCAAGGAGCUUACAUUCAAAGUAGUAAUAAUAAAUAUUUAUACUAUGGGAGUGUCCAAAUGGGCUUGGGCUCCAUUGUGCAGGGCACUAUACAGAAAGAGACAAUAUCUGCCCUGAAUUUACAAUCCAAAGACAUCAACAGACAAAAGGGAGGCAAUGUGGAUACAGAAUAAAAGAAGAACAGGAGUACUUGUGGCACCUUAGAGACUAACAAAUUUAUAGAAUAAAAGGAAGUGGAUGUGGUGAAGAAUUGACACCAUGUUGUUGACUAGUUAUGUCUUUUGAAUUUUUUUUUAAAUUGGGGUUAGAGGUGGGGAGGAAGGGAGUAGGAAAAGGAUAGGAAGAGGAUUUUUAGGGCUUGGGAAGUAAAAAGAUGCUGCGUUAGUUCCAUAUAAAAUAUUGAAAGAUGUAACCUCUAAUCCCACGUUACUGACUUUUUGCGUAGAUUCUAGGGUUCCCGCUCUAUGAUCCCUGUGUGCAGAGGAGUGGGACGACAUGAAGGGAAAUACAUGAGAAUCCAUCAAAUUUUCUUGCCUUGGGGAGAUAAAAGAAAUUAACAUGCCAUCAAUGGAACUUCCAAAUGUUUUAAGGAGUUGCCUUGCUAGUCCUGGAAUAGGGUGCUAAAUUCUCCUUGGCUGUUGUAUAUGGAUACAUAAAAACCUUAGGGCAAUAGCAGGGCCUCUGGAUUUCAACCACAAUCUACUCUUGAGAGUGGGCCAUAGGGUAGGUCAAGAUUUGUGGGAAAGGAACAUUCCCUUCUUCCCUGUGAGUGUUCUUUCUAUCAGCUGGCCUGCCCUCCAUGCAGGGGCCUGAGGUUAUGAUAGAUGCUCAUUAUACAUAGUCUAAGAAGACCAAAGGCAAAAUGAAGCCUCUUCACAGAAUUUUGCUGUGUCUCUUCUGUGAAGGAGGCAUAGGGACUGAAUGACCAGAGCAAGCCAUUGACCAGAUUCUGCUCUCCUUUACGUUGACUUCAAUGGAGCAAUACCAAUUUAAGCCCACUGAGAAUCUGGCCCAUUAUUUGUAAUGUGGGUUGAUCAGAGUUGAGGAUCAUCAUUGGGGAAGUACACACGGCUACUCUGCCAGUGCUGUACCAAUGAUGUGGUGCCGCAGAUGGCUACACACUGCCCAGGGCUGUCAAUCUGACAACUUUCUCCAGCACUCACCAGACCACAUGAAUCAAGUGGCAUCUUCUUGCUGUAGUGUGAAAAUAAUGAAAUGUGAAUCUCAGCAUUGGUAGAAAUUAGCCUAAAUGAUACACCUGAAUCAGCAGUUUAUUUGACAACAUAACUGCAGAUUGAUGACAACCCAUUUUUAAAAAAAAUAAUGACAUGUUGAUUAUAUGUUAGCAUUGCCAAGGAUUAAAAAAACACUCUAGAAAAAUGGGUACAGCCUGGAGUUUUGCAAACAUUCCCUAGUGGCAAAGGGCUAAAGUCUUCUAUUAUGAAAUACCGGACAAGAGAACACUUCUUAUGUUGUGAGUAUGUCCCAGUGCCAGGAAUAGGAUGUUUCCGAGUGCAGCUUCUUCACAGCACCAUAAAGAUUGGAGUGAGGGGGAGGAAGAGCAAAAGGAGCUUUAAAGAGAAAUGUGUGAACUAUUACUGACGUGAUUAAUCCAACUGGGCAGUUGCAACAUGUAUACUAGUGCUUUGGAAAUAAUAGAGUGGCUUCAUAAAUGGCUAGUUUUUAGACAUGAAGGUGUGCAAUGAAAUUGCAGGAUAAAUUAAAAUAAACAUAAAAGCCCCCACCCACCCCCGACUUUACUGCAUAAUGAAAUGGAGAGAACUAUAACUUGUCCCUUCAGUGGAUACACAGGGCAAUGUCUGCCAGGGAAAAAAAUAUAAUAUACAUAAUGGAGCAGAUUCUCUGUUCCAUCUGAAUUGCUUUUGAGUGUGGUUGCUAGCAUAAGGUAUCUAUGAAGCUGUUGUAGCUGGUUCUGGGAAGAUCAACUCAGUGUAAGAGGAUGGUCAGGGGCAGAGGGCCAAAGAAGUGGUCUUUCCACAGCCACAGUAGUGGGUGUGGUCAUGGAGAAAGGUGAACGUCUUCCCUGAUGGUUGUAAUGUCUCCUUGGGGCCAUUGGAAGCUAGUUACAUUGGAGCAGCCUUCAGGCUGCUCUCACUUAAGCCAGGGGAAUGGACAUAGGUAAGUAAAGACAGCCCUUGUUCGGGGGGGUCAAAGAUGGUGGUGUCAGAUGUUCAGCUGCGUGCGUGUGUUCUCUCUGCAUGCUGUACUGACUCUAGCCAGACAGCCCGUAUUGAACUGUCCAAUAAAUCCACAGACUUGGUUUUCUAGCGAAGGUGCCGACGAAGCAUGGUGCUAAUGCCCCGGCUCAACGGUUACAGGUAAACUAACACACGUAUGCCCAUGACAAUGGAUACAGCUCAGUCAUGGCGGGACUUUCCACUGCUCCCUCAGUUGGACAAAGACACUCCCUCUGAGAUACAUCUUUAUACACAAAUACAAACAAAUUACAUAUUGCCCCGACGUAUCAGGGUGCCACCCUCUAACGUAUUAGGGUGCCACCCAUUGUCUUGUUCCUGUAGGUUCGAUUAAAACAUCUCUAUUUAUCAUGCUGUCAUCCUGACCUUAUCCUUAAGAUGGGUCAGCAUGUUUCUGUUAUCUUUGGGGAAUGUGUUUAUCGGGGUGUUCUGGUACCAGCCUUCUGGAAUGUGCUUGCGUGAGUGCUUUAUGCCUCGCAUCUCUUUGGAAUAUGCGCUUUUGCAAUAUCAGCUCUAUGCUUGCCAAAUUCUGUGAGCAGGGCCUGCCUCUUGCUCACAACUUAACUUUGCUUUAUAUCAGCAGUUUUGACUAUUUUAGCCCAGGCCUCAGGCCUCAUACCAGGCCUCUGAUACGUGGGCUUAUGUUUCAGGGCCUCUUCCUAAUACAGAUGGUUUGAAGUUGAUACACGUUUGGCACUGUAUAUUCACCAUGUGUCUGAUAGAAUGAAUGUAAAAAUAGGGUAUUCUUUUGCUUGGCCCAUUGCAGGCAGCUGCUUCUUUUUGCCUUCUAAGUGUAUGGAUGUUACUGACAGCACCUUACAUCUGCUCUUAACCAUUUCUCCUUGAUUCAAUAAGCAUCCAUUGGAAGUGGCCCCAAAUCCAUCAGGCCCACAUCAUAUUAACCCAGUCCUUAAGGACACUGCAACACUCUGUACCGCAAAGCAGCGCCUGGAAAUCCCAUAUUCUCCACGGUCAUAGAAUUAUGAUAUGUUUAGUAAAGUAUGCCUUGUGAGGUAUCAUUUUAAAUGUCUUGAUCUGUUGAACAUUAAUAUCUUGUUGGAUUGUAUGUGCUAUCAUUGUAUGUGAAGUUAUGAAGUUUUGCUAUGUGUGUGUUACUGAAAUACAUUGUGAGGUUGGGAACACCCACAACCAGCCUUUCAGGUACAAUAAUGGAGUAGCCAGACAUCGGUUAAUGGCUCAUCAGCACCCAAAGAAUCCACUAUCCCAGGAACUGUAUACAAUGGAGACUUCUCAGAGAGAACACAUAGACAAUGGAGACUGUUUGGCCAGUGGGGACUGCCUGAUUCCCCACGUCAAACAAUCUUUCCAGCAAGCUGGAAGAAACUAUAAAAGAGAGGAAACGACAUCAUCACUGGGCCUCUACCCCACCCCCAACGCAACACCUGGAAGAAACGUCUGGAGGACAAAGACUUGGAACUGGAGGAGGGUGGUCCCAUGUUGGAAGGCAGCCUGUGUAUUGAGGAUCUGUGGCCUGUUUGUACCAUCUAUCCUGGGGAGACAGUGCUUGAUUCAAAUCCAGUUUAGUUCGUAGAACUCAGACUGCGAAUUUUGUUUCUUACGAAACCAACUCUGAUUUCUAUGCCUGCUACUUAUGAUCUUUCUGUAGUUAAUAAAUCUCUUUUCUAUUUGACCUCAAACAGUGUGUUUUGUUUGGAGUGCUUGGGCAAUCUCCGCUCAGUUUACAAAGGCUAGUAGUGUGUGUAUUCUCCACACUGAGGGAGUGGCGGACUGGGUAAUGAACUUACACUGGCCAGGUUUCUGACCAAUGCAAGAUGUACAGUUCUUAGGUGCAAGGCUGGGGACCUGGCGGGAAUU